GAUGAAGAACGUAGCGAAAUGCGAUAAGUAAUGUGAAUUGCAGAAUUCAGUGAAUCAUCGAAUCUUUGAACGCACAUUGCGCCCGCCAGUAUUCUGGCGGGCAUGCCUGUUCGAGCGUCAUUUCAACCAUCAAGCCUCAGGCUUGUGUUGGGGACCCUGCGGCUGCCCGCAGGCCCUGAAAACCAGUGGCGGGCUCGCUGUCACUCCGAGCGUAGUAGCAUAUAUCUCGCUCAGGGCGUGCUGCGGGUUCCGGCCGUUAAAAGCCUUUUUUUUACCCAAGGUUGACCUCGGAUCAGGUAGGAAGACCCGCUGAACUUAAGCAUAUCAAUAAGCGGAGGA
rnacentral:misc_RNA from 1 species